rnacentral:rRNA from 1 species
UUCCUCCGCGUAUUGAUAUGUUCUGUAGGUGAACCUGCGGAGGGAGCAAUACCGAGUUUUCAACUCCCAAACCCAAUGUGAACGUAACCAAACUGUUGCCUCGGCGGGAUCUCUGCCCCGGGUGCGUCGCAGCCCCGGACCAAGGCGCCCGCCGGAGGACCAACCAAAACUCUUUUUGUAUACCCCCUCGCGGGUUUUUAAUAAUCUGAGCCUUCUCGGCGCCUCUCGUAGGCGUUUCGAAAAUGAAUCAAAACUUUCAACAACGGAUCUCUUGGUUCUGGCAUCGAUGAAGAACGCAGCGAAAUGCGAUAAGUAAUGUGAAUUGCAGAAUUCAGUGAAACAUCGAAUCUUUGAACGCACAUUGCGCCCGCCAGUAUUCUGGCGGGCAUGCCUGUCCGAGCGUCUUUUCAACCCUCGAACCCCUCCGGGGGGUCGGCGUUGGGGAUCGGCCCUCCCUUAGCGGGUGGCCGUCUCCGAAAUACAGUGGCGGUCUCGCCGCAGCCUCUCCUGCGCAGUAGUUUGCACACUCGCAUCGGGAGCGCGGCGCGUCCACAGCCGUAAAACACCCAACUUCUGAAAUGUUGACCUCGGAUCAGGUAGGAAUACCCGCUGAACAUAAGCAUAUGAAUAAGCCGGAGGAAU